AUUGAACGCUGGCGGCAGGCCUAACACAUGCAAGUCGAGCGGAUGAGGGGAGCUUGCUUCCUGAUUCAGCGGCGGACGGGUGAGUAAUGCCUAGGAAUCUGCCUGGUAGUGGGGGACAACGUUUCGAAAGGAACGCUAAUACCGCAUACGUCCUACGGGAGAAAGUGGGGGAUCUUCGGACCUCACGCUAUCAGAUGAGCCUAGGUCGGGUUAGCUAGUUGGUGAGGUAAAGGCUCACCAAGGCGACGAUCCGUAACUGGUCUGAGAGGAUGGUCAGUCACACUGGAACUGAGACACGGUCCAGACGCCUACGGGAGGCAGCAGGGGGGAAUAUUGGACAAUGGGCGAAAGCCUGAUCCAGCCAUGCCGCGUGUGUGAAGAAGGUCUUCGGAUUGUAAAGCACUUUAAGUUGGGAGGAAGGGCUGUAGGCUAAUAUCCUGCAGUUUUGACGUUACCGACAGAAUAAGCACCGGCUAACUUCGUGCCAGCCGCCGCGGUAAGAC
rnacentral:rRNA from 1 species